rnacentral:ncRNA from 3 species
AGGGAUAACUGGCUUGUGGCAGC